GAUGAACGCUGGCGGCGUGCCUAAUACAUGCAAGUCGAGCGAACGGACGAGAAGCUUGCUUUUCUGAUGUUAGCGGCGGACGGGUGAGUAACACGUGGAUAACCUACCUAUAAGACUGGGAUAACUUCGGGAAACCGGAGCUAAUACCGGAUAAUAUUUUGAACCGCAUGGUUCAAAAGUGAAAGACGGUCUUGCUGUCACUUAUAGAUGGAUCCGCGCUGCAUUAGCUAGUUGGUAAGGUAACGGCUUACCAAGGCAACGAUGCAUAGCCGACCUGAGAGGUUGAUCGGCCACACGGAAACUGAGACACGGCCCAGACCCCAACGGGAGGCAGCAGUGGGGAAUCUUCCGAAAGGGGCGAAAGCCUGCCGGGGCAACGCCGCGUGGGUGAUGAGGUUCUUCGGAUCGUAAACCCCUGUUAUUAGGGAAGAACAUAUGUGUAAGUAACUGUGCACAUCCGAACGGUACCUAACCAGAAGGCCACGCUAAACUCCGG
rnacentral:rRNA from 1 species